UGGGGAAUAUUGGACAAUGGGCGAAAGCCUGAUCCAGCCAUGCCGCGUGAGUGACGAAGGCCUUAGGGUUGUAAAACUCUUUCGUCGGGGACGAUAAUGACGGUACCCGAAGAAGAAGCUCCGGCUAACUUCGUGCCAGCAGCCGCGGUAAUACGAAGGGAGCUAGCGUUGUUCGGAAUCACUGGGCGUAAAGCGCACGUAGGCGGCAAUUCAAGUCAUCUGUGAAAUCUCCGGGCUUAACUCGGAACGGUCAGAUGAUACUGCUUUGCUAGAGUGCAGAAGGGGCAAUCGGAAUUCUUGGUGUAGCGGUGAAAUGCGUAGAUAUCGGAAGGAACAUCGGUGGCGAAGGCGUCUACCUGGCCUAAUACUGACACUGAGGCACGAAAGCGUGGGGAGCAAACAGGAUUAGAUACCCUCGUAGUCCCUGAGCGGGCUGGCAAGGCGCAU
rnacentral:rRNA from 1 species